rnacentral:rRNA from 1 species
UACGUAGGGUGCAAGCGUUGUCCGGAAUUAUUGGGCGUAAAGAGCUCGUAGGCGGUUUGUUGCGUCGGCUGUGAAAUCCCGAGGCUCAACCUCGGGUCUGCAGUCGAUACGAGCAAACUAGAGUGUUGCAGGGGAGACUGGAAUUCCUGGUGUAGCGGUGAAAUGCGCAGAUAUCAGGAGGAACACCGGUGGCGAAGGCGGGUCUCUGGGCCGUAACUGACGCUGGAGGAGCGAAAGCGUGGGGAGCGAACAGG